UACGUAGGGGGCAAGCGUUGUCCGGAAUCAUUGGGCGUAAAGCGCGUGUAGGCGGCUCGGUAAGUCUGCUCUGAAAGCCCGGGGCUCAACCCUGGGAGGCGGGUGGAUACUGCUGAGCUCGAGUCCGGAAGAGGCGAGUGGAAUUCCUGGUGUAGCGGUGAAAUGCGCAGAUAUCAGGAGGAACACCAAUGGCGAAGGCAGCGCGCUGGGACGGUACUGACGCUGAGACGCGAAAGCGUGGGGAGCAAACAGG
rnacentral:rRNA from 1 species